rnacentral:rRNA from 1 species
UAGAGUUUGAUCCUGGCUCAGGAUGAACGCUGGCGGCGUGCUUAACACAUGCAAGUCGAACGGACCCUUUCGGGGGUUAGUGGCGGACGGGUGAGUAACACGUGAGAAUCUGCCCAUAGGACGGGGACAACAGUGGGAAACUGCUGCUAAUACCGGAUGAGCCGAGAGGUAAAACUUUUUAAGGCCUAUGGAGGAGCUCGCGACUGAUUAGCUAGUUGGUGGGGUAAAGGCCUACCAAGGCGACGAUCAGUAGCUGGUCUGAGAGGAUGAUCAGCCACACUGGGACUGAGACACGGCCCAGACUCCUACGGGAGGCAGCAGUGGGGAAUUUUCCGCAAUGGGGGCAACCCUGACGGAGCAACGCCGCGUGAGGGAAGAAUGGUUGUGGCCAGUAAACCUCUUUUAAUAGGGAAGAAUUCUGACGGUACCUAUUGAAUAAGCAUCGGCUAACUCCGUGCCAGCAGCCGCGGUAAUACGGAGGAUGCAAGCGUUAUCCGGAAUUAUUGGGCGUAAAGCGUCCGCAGGUGGUUAGUCAAGUCAGCUGUUAAAUACUCAGGCUCAACUUGGGAUGUGCAGUUGAAACUGAUUGACUAGAGUACGGUAGGGGUAGAGGGAAUUCCUAGUGUAGCGGUGAAAUGCGUAGAUAUUAGGAAGAACACCAGUGGCGAAGGCGCUCUACUGGGCCUGUACUGACACUGAGGGACGAAAGCUAGGGGAGCGAAAGGGAUUAGAUACCCCUGUAGUCCUAGCUGUAAACGAUGGAUACUAGGUGUUGGACGUAUCGACCCGUUCAGUAUCGUAGCUAACGCGUUAAGUAUCCCGCCUGGGGAGUACGCACGCAAGUGUGAAACUCAAAGGAAUUGACGGGGGCCCGCACAAGCGGUGGAGUAUGUGGUUUAAUUCGAUGCAACGCGGAGAACCUUACCAGGGUUUGACAUCCUACGAACUUUCCAGAGAUGGAUUGGUGCCUUCGGGAACGUAGAGACAGGUGGUGCAUGGCUGUCGUCAGCUCGUGUCGUGAGAUGUUGGGUUAAGUCCCGCAACGAGCGCAACCCACGUUUUUAGUUGCCAUCAUUCAGUUGGGCACUCUAGAGAGACUGCCGGUGACAAACCGGAGGAAGGUGUGGACGACGUCUAGUCAUCAUGCCCCUUACACCCUGGGCUACACACGUACUACAAUGCUUCGGACAAAGGGCAGCUAGCCAGCGAUGGUAUGCAAAUCUCAUAAACCGAAGCACAGUUCAGAUUGUAGGCUGCAACUCGCCUACAUGAAGGAGGAAUCGCUAGUAAUCGCAGGUCAGCAUACUGCGGUGAAUACGUUCCCGGGCCUUGUACACACCGCCCGUCACACCGUGGAAGUUGGUUUCGCCCGAAGCCGUUACUCCAACCUUUCGGGGAGGAGGACGUCGAAGGCAGGGCUGAUGACUGGGGUGAAGUCGUAACAAGGUA